UAGAUUUUUGCUCCCGAAAUAAAAAGAGCUAAACCUAUUAUUUUAUAGAAUAAUUUAAUUAAUGUUGCAUAUAUUAAAAUUUAAAUAAUGUUUAGAAGUGAAAUACUAACAAUUUUUAUGAUAUCUGGAUUAAUUUAAAUGUAUUUAGUACAUAAGACAAUUUUAAAGUGUUAAGACUUUAAAAUCUGAAUACUUUGUGUUUUUGCUUUUUAGGAUUAACCUCCCUUAAAAUAGAACCCUCAAAAUAAAUUUAUUAUAAGUUUCUAAUUUAAAUUUUUAAAAGAACCAAUUGUUUGUUUGUUUAAAAAAUGUUUAAAUGAGUAAUAUAAUUUAAAUUUUAAAAAGGAACUCGGCAAAAUCGUGUUCAACUGUUUAACAAAAACAUAGCCUUAAGAAUUUUUUUUAAGGUAAUUUCUGCCCGGUGAAUUUUUAACGGCCGCAGUACUUUGACUGUGCUAAGGUAGCAUAAUAAAUUGGCUUUUAAAUGAGGUCUUGAAUCAAAGAAGCUAUGGAUACAAGCUGUCUCUUUUAAAAUUUUUUGAAUUUACGUUUAAGGUGAAAACUCCUUGAAAGUUUUAUUAGACAAGAAGACCCUUAGAGCUUACUUAUUUUUGUUGGGGCGACCCAGUAGCNNNNNNNCCUACCUUAUUAUUACAUUACAAGCCGANNNNNNNGAUUAAGCUACCUAAGGGAUAACAGCACAAUAUUUCUUUUGUUUAUGACCUCGAUGUUGGAUUAGGAUAAGUUUUUACUAGACGUAAAAACUUAAAGUUCUGUUCGAACUAUUUCUCCUACAUGAUCUGAGUUCAGACCGGCGUAAGCCAGG
rnacentral:rRNA from 1 species